GUGAGAUGAACGCCACACCCCAUAAUCGCCUUUGACUAGACUUAACCAUCCAGGAGUCCUUUACCUUUUACCUCCCCCCUCCCCCAACUUAGGGUGUCUAAGUGUAGUCAUAAUAAGCUAGUAGCAUAAGAACAGAAGAACAAUCCUGCUGAAUCAGGCCAGUAACCCACCUAGUCCAGCAUCCUUUUCUCACAGUGGCCCACCAAAUGCCUGUGGGAAGUCUGCAAGUCGGACCUGAAAUCAACAGCACUUUCCCCAUUUGUGAUGAAGUGGGGGCAGCUACUUUUAAACCUAGAUUAUUUCCCUAGUUAAAAGCAUCAAUCACCCUCCUGAAACUUUGUGGAUGAAACUCAGCUAUUUGGCAGGUAUAACUUUUUGUUCCCCACUCCUUCCAUUUGUUUCCUCUCUUCCCGUGUCCGGGAGGGAAAGAUAUAUUGAUCAUGAAAACCCCCAUUUGGAACCUCAGCGUUUUGGCCAUUAAGGUUUCCAUACCGAAGAAAGAGGCAUCGGACUAACGUCCUUGGCAACUAAUUAUUGUUUUACCUUAUAUAUCUUAUCUGUUGAACCUAUGAUAAAUUCUAAAGGAAAUAGUAGCAGCAAAAAUAAGUGUGCAGAGUUGCUGGACGUGAGGCAUAGAUGUCAGCCAAGGUGGCCUGUGGUGAGUUAACCCAGCCUCAAUAGCGACUGGGUCUACUUUAAGACAUGCAGCAAGAGUGUGCUGGAUCCAGUGUGGUUGGAAUAUAUUAACACAAUAAAGCAGUUUUAACUUUGUGUGUGGUUUCCAUAACAUGGAAGUGAUCACUGCAUACAUUUUUAGGUGCUUGCAGAACAUCACCUGUUGUCCUCACUCUAGAAACAGAGCAAUGAUUAUGGAGGCAGACCAAAACCCCUUCUUCAUUUAUGGUUCCAAAACAGCAAUGUACCAUAGGCAUGGUUUCAUCAAGCUAUCACCUAGGGGUCAUGGAAAUUAGGCCAGCUGUCAUGUAUUACUUAAGUGAAGCCUAGGCCAUGAUAGCUUGUGCCAUAAUACAUGUAGAGGUAUUUAAGGUCUCCUGCUUCACUUGCUAAAUUUCUGCCUAUCAGGUCAUUGCCAGGAACAGGGCCUCACUCCUGUACCUUUGCCAGCAGUCUGGAAAGCAGAAAUUUAGCAGGUAAAUCGGAGAGAAAGUGAUCGUAGAAAACAUUAUCUGCUUUAUUUCUUCUUGACAAGGCUGCAGGGGCAAGACCAUCUGGGUCACAUGACUGAAAAAGGAGCAGUGCACUCUGGGUAAUAUGCACAACUUUUCUUUUUGGGUAAUGCACCCAUGGAGGGUUUAGGAUGGGAUCUGGGGGAGUUCCUUACCUUUCCCCAUGGUGUCUUCAGCUGAAUGGCAGCCUUAAGUGUCUGGACAGGAACGGCUGGAAUGGCUCUGCUUCUGUGCUUGUGCUGCACUGACAUCCCCAUUAUCUCACCCCGCCCAGUGAGCAACACUGACCCGUCUGCUAGGAAGCUAGCACCACCAGAAUCAUAGAAUUGUGGGGUUGGAAGGGACCUCGAGG